CCCUACUCGUUGUCUGAGGCAGUUUCAUUCGAGGAACGAGCACUACAGCUCUAAAAUCCAACGUCUGAAAAUAGUGGCCAGAAGCUCGCAGAAAAACACCUCAAAAAUGUUUUUUCGGGUCGUCGUGAAGAGGCUCAUCACCGGAAAGAAACUGUUGAUCCACCUGGGCGACUCUGAGAAGCAGUUUAAGACCAUCACAUUGGAGCAGCUGAAGGAGAAGUUAUGCGGACAAAAUGGCUGGCCUCGAGUUGGAUCCCAAAUUGUCUUCGCGGGUAAACGACUGGAAGAUGACCGCCUGCUGUGUGAUUAUGGAAUCCAACGCAUGUUUAUGCUACACAAGCUUAAAAGGCUAAUAGAGGGAGGAGGAUUUCCAGAGAAGGGAGAUGGAGGGAUGGGUGGCAAGGACAAAAGCCAAAGUAUGGACAGGCUUGCAACAAUUUAAACCAUUUUAAUAACACAACAGAACUGCACCUCAGUUCAAGUGUCACUCUUAGUGUAACAAAAACACAAGACAUGGACAUUUUGAAGAACAAAGACUGGAAUAUAUCUACAAAAGCAAUAAUUUAAUGUCAUGAAUCCAACUCCAGUCAAUGAUCAAACUACUGGAAACUCAUCUAAAUAAAUCUGUGUAUCAAAAUUAAAUUACACAUUAAGAAGAUUUUUCAUGGAAAUAAUUCCUUUUGAUCCUAUAAUGGUUUAGAUGUAGCUCUACACUGGUGCUUCCUUGUCACUUCUAUCUCCAUCCCCUCCUCCACCACUGACUGCAGCUCAAGCACACCAGCAGACCUACGACUGCAUCUUAAACACUGUACAACUGCUCCAUGCAACACAAUGACUAGUUUUAAUGUUGGGAAUCAUGCAUGACUGAAGCAGAAACCAUCUCUGCAGGAGGAGAAUGAUACAGAAAAGCAAACCCUGCAAGCUGACAGCUGAGCAGCAUGAGAGUGGACUUACACCUGGUUUCCUGAACUGGGGACUACCUUACUGAGAGACCGCAGUUCGUCAGACUGGGCGGCUUUAUAUCGAAUACUGUGGUCAGCAGCACAGGGGGCGCCACAAGGCACUGUGCUCUCCCCUGUACUGUUCACUCUCUACACAUCUGACUUUCAGUGCGAGUCUGAGCUCUACCACAGUCAGAAGUAAUCAGAUGAUACUUUUAAUCUUGGAUGUGUGGAGGGUGGACAGGAGGGGGAGUAGAGGGGCCUGGUGGAGGACUCUGUGGGGUGAUGCAGUUCAAACCACCUGCAGCUGAACACCUCCAAGACCAAGGAGAUGGUGGUGGAUUUCAGGAGGAAUAGAGCCCAUCUCCUGCCCCAUUGUGGGCACAGACGUGGAGGUGGUCAGGACCUUUAAGUACCUGGGACUGCAGCUGGGCAAUAAACUGGAAUGUUCAGACAACACAGACAGCAUCUACAGGAAAGGACCGAGUCGUCUUUACUUCCUGAAGAGACUGGGGUCCUUCAACAUCUAUAAGCAACUGCUGCUGAUGUUUUACCAGUCUGUCAUGUCCAGUGUUCUUUUUAAUGCUUUUGUUGGGGAUCGAGCAUUAAAAAGGGGGACGCUGCACGACUGGACAGACUGAUGAGGAGAGCUGGCUCAGUGGUGGGCACAGAGUUGGACUCUAUGGUUUCAGUAGCAGAAAAGGACCCUGGAGAAGAUUCUCUCCCUCCUGGACAACACCCAGCAUCAGUCAGAGGAGUGUGUUCAGCUCCAGGCUGCUGUCUCUGACCUGCUCCACCAACAGACUCAGUACCUCUUUAGUGUCCCUGGUCGUCAGACUGUACAACUCAUCACUGAGUGGUCAGUGGGGGGUCUCAGUCAUGACUGCAUUAGGAAUGAUUGAAUGUGAUUGAAAGUGAUUUGAAGUGAUUUUGUCAGGUAGUAACCUGACAAAAUCACUUCAAAUCACUUCCAAUCACUUUAAAUCAUGGUGCCUUGAAAUGUGUAAAUAAUGUACAUUGACUUUUAAUAAAUUUAGUAUUUCUACA